GACGUAGGGGGCGAGCGUUGUCCGGAUUCAUUGGGCGUAAAGCGCGCGCAGGCGGCCCGGUAAGUCGGAUGUGAAAUCCCACGGCUCAACCGUGGAACUGCAUUCGAUACUGUCGGGCUAGAGGCAGGUAGGGGAGAUCGGAAUUCCUGGUGUAGCGGUGAAAUGCGUAGAGCUCGGGAAGAACAUCGGUGGCGAAAGCGCUCUACUGGACGACAACUGACACUCAGGGACGAAAGCUAGGGGAGCGAAUGGG
rnacentral:rRNA from 1 species